rnacentral:rRNA from 1 species
GACGAACGCUGGCGGCGUGCUUAACACAUGCAAGUCGAGCGGAGCGGCGAACGGGUGAGUAACGCGUGAGUAACUGCCCCCCUCUCUGGGAUAACAGUUGGAAACGUCUGCUAAUACCGGAUAGUGGGGGAUGACUCGCGUCCUAUCAGCUGGUUGGUGGGGUAGUGGCCUACGAAGGCGACGAAGGGUUGCCGGCCUGAGAGUGCAACCGGCCACAGUGGGCAGAGAUACGGCCCGAAGUACUACGGGAGGCAGCAGUGGGGAAUAUUGCACAAUGGGGGAAACCCUGAUGCAGCAACGCCGCGUGCGGGAUGACGGACUUCGGGUUGUUAACCGCUGUCAGCAAUGACGAGGUAGUAGCAGAAGAAGCACCGGCUAACUACGUGCCAGCAGCCGCGGUAAUAC